rnacentral:rRNA from 1 species
CCCAGCGGGAAACGACGAUGAGCAGAAAGGCACAUGGACGGCACGCGCACGCCGGUUUAGUGACUGCGUACCUUUUGUAUAAUGGGUCAGCGACUUAUAUUCUGUAGCAAGGUUAACCGAAUAGGGGAGCCGAAGGGAAACCGAGUCUUAACUGGGCGUUAAGUUGCAGGGUAUAGACCCGAAACCCGGUGAUCUAGCCAUGGGCAGGUUGAAGGUUGGGUAACACUAACUGGAGGACCGAACCGACUAAUGUUGAAAAAUUAGCGGAUGACUUGUGGCUGGGGGUGAAAGGCCAAUCAAACCGGGAGAUAGCUGGUUCUCCCCGAAAGCUAUUUAGGUAGCGCCUCGUGAAUUCAUCUCCGGGGGUAGAGCACUGUUUCGGCAAGGGGGUCAUCCCGACUUACCAACCCGAUGCAAACUGCGAAUACCGGAGAAUGUUAUCACGGGAGACACACGGCGGGUGCUAACGUCCGUCGUGAAGAGGGAAACAACCCAGACCGCCAGCUAAGGUCCCAAAGUCAUGGUUAAGUGGGAAACGAUGUGGGAAGGCCCAGACAGCCAGGAUGUUGGCUUAGAAGCAGCCAUCAUUUAAAGAAAGCGUAAUAGCUCACUGGUCGAGUCGGCCUGCGCGGAAGAUGUAACGGGGCUAAACCAUGCACCGAAGCUGCGGCAGCGACGCUGAUGCGUUGUUGGGUAGGGGAGCGUUCUGUAAGCCUGUGAAGGUGUGCUGUGAGGCAUGCUGGAGGUAUCAGAAGUGCGAAUGCUGACAUAAGUAACGAUAAAGCGGGUGAAAAGCCCGCUCGCCGGAAGACCAAGGGUUCCUGUCCAACGUUAAUCGGGGCAGGGUGAGUCGACCCCUAAGGCGAGGCCGAAAGGCGUAGUCGAUGGGAAACAGGUUAAUAUUCCUGUACUUGGUGUUACUGCGAAGGGGGGACGGAGAAGGCUAUGUUGGCCGGGCGACGGUUGUCCCGGUUUAAGCGUGUAGGCUGGUUUUCCAGGCAAAUCCGGAAAAUCAAGGCUGAGGCGUGAUGACGAGGCACUACGGUGCUGAAGCAACAAAUGCCCUGCUUCCAGGAAAAGCCUCUAAGCAUCAGGUAACAUCAAAUCGUACCCCAAACCGACACAGGUGGUCAGGUAGAGAAUACCAAGGCGCUUGAGAGAACUCGGGUGAAGGAACUAGGCAAAAUGGUGCCGUAACUUCGGGAGAAGGCACGCUGAUAUGUAGGUGAAGUCCCUCGCGGAUGGAGCUGAAAUCAGUCGAAGAUACCAGCUGGCUGCAACUGUUUAUUAAAAACACAGCACUGUGCAAACACGAAAGUGGACGUAUACGGUGUGACGCCUGCCCGGUGCCGGAAGGUUAAUUGAUGGGGUUAGCGCAAGCGAAGCUCUUGAUCGAAGCCCCGGUAAACGGCGGCCGUAACUAUAACGGUCCUAAGGUAGCGAAAUUCCUUGUCGGGUAAGUUCCGACCUGCACGAAUGGCGUAAUGAUGGCCAGGCUGUCUCCACCCGAGACUCAGUGAAAUUGAACUCGCUGUGAAGAUGCAGUGUACCCGCGGCAAGACGGAAAGACCCCGUGAACCUUUACUAUAGCUUGACACUGAACAUUGAGCCUUGAUGUGUAGGAUAGGUGGGAGGCUUUGAAGUGUGGACGCCAGUCUGCAUGGAGCCGACCUUGAAAUACCACCCUUUAAUGUUUGAUGUUCUAACGUUGACCCGUAAUCCGGGUUGCGGACAGUGUCUGGUGGGUAGUUUGACUGGGGCGGUCUCCUCCUAAAGAGUAACGGAGGAGCACGAAGGUUGGCUAAUCCUGGUCGGACAUCAGGAGGUUAGUGCAAUGGCAUAAGCCAGCUUGACUGCGAGCGUGACGGCGCGAGCAGGUGCGAAAGCAGGUCAUAGUGAUCCGGUGGUUCUGAAUGGAAGGGCCAUCGCUCAACGGAUAAAAGGUACUCCGGGGAUAACAGGCUGAUACCGCCCAAGAGUUCAUAUCGACGGCGGUGUUUGGCACCUCGAUGUCGGCUCAUCACAUCCUGGGGCUGAAGUAGGUCCCAAGGGUAUGGCUGUUCGCCAUUUAAAGUGGUACGCGAGCUGGGUUUAGAACGUCGUGAGACAGUUCGGUCCCUAUCUGCCGUGGGCGCUGGAGAACUGAGGGGGGCUGCUCCUAGUACGAGAGGACCGGAGUGGACGCAUCACUGGUGUUCGGGUUGUCAUGCCAAUGGCACUGCCCGGUAGCUAAAUGCGGAAGAGAUAAGUGCUGAAAGCAUCUAAGCACGAAACUUGCCCCGAGAUGAGUUCUCCCUGACUCCUUGA